ensembl:piRNA 21ur-3464 ncRNA
UCUAAGUGUUUACAGAUCAAA